UACGGAGGAUGCGAGCGUUAUCCGGAUUUAUUGGGUUUAAAGGGUGCGUAGGCGGGCUUUUAAGUCAGCGGUAAAAGUUCGGGGCUCAACCCCGUCCGGCCGUUGAAACUGGGGGCCUUGAGUGGGCGAGAAGAAGGCGGAAUGCGUGGUGUAGCGGUGAAAUGCAUAGAUAUCACGCAGAACCCCGAUUGCGAAGGCAGCCUUCCGGCGCCCUACUGACGCUGAGGCACGAAAGUGCGGGGAUCGAACAGG
rnacentral:rRNA from 1 species